AGAGUUUGAUCAUGGCUCAGGAUGAACGCUAGCUACAGGCUUAACACAUGCAAGUCGAGGGGAAACGACAUCGAAAGCUUGCUUUUGAUGGGCGUCGACCGGCGCACGGGUGAGUAACGCGUAUCCAACCUGCCCAUCACUUGGGGAUAACCUUGCGGAAGUAAGACUAAUACCCAAUGACGUCUCUAGAAGACAUCUGAAAGAGAUUAAAGAUUUAUCGGUGAUGGAUGGGGAUGCGUCUGAUUAGCUUGUUGGCGGGGUAACGGCCACCAAGGCGACGAUCAGUAGGGGCUCUGGAGAGGAAGGUCCCCCACAUUGGAACUGAGACACGGUCCAAACUCCUACGGGAGGCA
rnacentral:rRNA from 1 species